rnacentral:rRNA from 1 species
AGCGUAGGUGGCCUAACAUGUCAACUGUGAAAACCCGGAGCUCAACUCCGGACUUGCAGUUGAAACUGGUAGGCUUGAGGACGGUAGAGGAAGACGGAACUGUCAGUGUAGGGGUAAAAUCCUUAGAUAUUGGCAGGAACGCCGGUGACGAAGGUGGUUUUCUGGGCCGGUUCUGACACUGAUGCUCGAAAGCCAGGGGAGCGAACG